UGGGGAAUAUUGCACAAUGGGCGCAAGCCUGAUGCAGCCAUGCCGCGUGUGUGAAGAAGGCCUUCGGGUUGUAAAGCACUUUCAGCGGGCAGGAAGGCGAUAAGGUUAAUAACCUCAUCGAUUGACGUUACCCGCAGAAGAAGCACCGGCUAACUCCGUGCCAGCAGCCGCGGUAAUACGGAGGGUGCAAGCGUUAAUCGGAAUUACUGGGCGUAAAGCGCACGCAGGCGGUCUGUCAAGUCGGAUGUGAAAUCCCCGGGCUCAACCUGGGAACUGCAUUCGAAACUGGCAGGCUAGAGUCUUGUAGAGGGGGGUAGAAUUCCAGGUGUAGCGGUGAAAUGCGUAGAGAUCUGGAGGAAUACCGGUGGCGAAGGCGGCCCCCUGGACAAAGACUGACGCUCAGGUGCGAAAGCGUGGGGAGCAAACAGG
rnacentral:rRNA from 1 species